GCGGGGUUGGUGUAGUUGGUUAUCACGUCAGUCUAACACGGCAUUUCCGAGCAAUCUGAAGAUCCUGAAGAGCACUGAAGGUCGCGAGUUCAAGUCUCGCAUCCCGUA